UGCUCGUUAGCACGCGCGUGUUCACGCGAAUCCACGAUCCGAUUAUUCGCACAUGAGAGGAAAGGAGUCUACGACAGAACAGACGAGAUAGGACUGUGGUUUAAACCGGUAGUUUCCCGCGUCGUUUGCCUCGUGUACGCGUAACGUGACGCCGGACAGACGGUCUACUCAUUGGCAAGAAAAUAUUGAAGAAAAACGAAUGAUACGUAUUCCCACGAUUGUGCCUAUUUUCGAUCAAUAUGGAAACCAUCUCAGAAUGAAUCGUGGUCAUUCGAAGUCAUUUUUGUUAUUCCAAAAUGAGAUAAAAGACUUGGCAAAAAUGACGUAUAUUUUUAUUUUGCAAAUGGCGUAUGAUUUCAUUGUACACAUGGCGCAUGUGCAUCGUCGUGCAAUAAAAUGCUGCGAAAUUGAAAUACGACCUGAUCUUUGAAGUAUUAUAAACGAGAAAAGCUGUGCUUUGAAUGAUAUCUGCUUUGAUGUACACGGUUAAAAGGAUUUUCAGUUCAUACUACUUUGGUAAAAUUACGAUUUACUUGGCGCAAGAAAACAAUAGCGUUGUUUGAACUGUACUUUUGGACAUAUACAUAAGGACACUUUUACUUCAGUUAUGGUAAUUAGGAUUUAUUUUCUGGUUAGUUUUAGGGAAGAUUACACAUUUAGGAUGUUCAACAAUGAAGACAAAUAAAUAUUGUCUUAUCUCUUUUCUGGUUACCAAUCGCUACAGCAUCUCUUUAUCCGCGUUCUUAAAUGGCGGAACUAAUCGAAAGGUAGAAGACGAAGAAGUAGGCGUUGCGGUUACAAUCGAUGCAACACGUGCACACGUACGAUACAACGGAUGUUGAAAAGAAUUGCGACUACCGUUUCUUCGUUUACGCGUAGGAGAAACGAUAUCCUUCUCCUCCUCUGUGAAGGCAAAAAGAGAAUGAUGCCACUGGUGGUCCUUGACAAUGAACUGGUUUCGGGUUUUGGCGUCGAACCAGUUGAACGACAAACAAGACGAGAGAGAAGCUCCUCCGACCCUCAGGCAUUAACUAACAUAAGUGGAGUGCAGUUGCA
rnacentral:lncRNA from 1 species